rnacentral:rRNA from 1 species
AACCGCAUGGUUCAAACAUAAAAGGUGGCUUCGGCUACCACUUACAGAUGGACCCGCGGCGCAUUAGCUAGUUGGUGAGGUAAUGGCUCACCAAGGCGACGAUGCGUAGCCGACCUGAGAGGGUGAUCGGCCACACUGGGACUGAGACACGGCCCAGACUCCUACGGGAGGCAGCAGUAGGGAAUCUUCCGCAAUGGACGAAAGUCUGACGGAGCAACGCCGCGUGAGUGAUGAAGGUUUUCGGAUCGUAAAGCUCUGUUGUUAGGGAAGAACAAGUACCGUUCGAAUAGGGCGGUACCUUGACGGUACCUAACCAGAAAGCCACGGCUAACUACGUGCCAGCAGCCGCGGUAAUACGUAGGUGGCAAGCGUUGUCCGGAAUUAUUGGGCGUAAAGGGCUCGCAGGCGGUUUCUUAAGUCUGAUGUGAAAGCCCCCGGCUCAACCGGGGAGGGUCAUUGGAAACUGGGGAACUUGAGUGCAGAAGAGGAGAGUGGAAUUCCACGUGUAGCGGUGAAAUGCGUAGAGAUGUGGAGGAACACCAGUGGCGAAGGCGACUCUCUGGUCUGUAACUGACGCUGAGGAGCGAAAGCGUGGGGAGCGAACAGGAUUAGAUACCCUGGUAGUCCACGCCGUAAACGAUGAGUGCUAAGUGUUAGGGGGGUUUCCGCCCCCUUAGUGCUGCAGCUAACGCAUUAAGCACUCCGCCUGGGGGAGUACGGUCGCAAGACUGAAACUCAAAGGAAUUGACGGGGGCCCGCACAAACGGUGGAGCAUGUGGUUUUAAUUCGAAGCAACGCGAAGAACCUUACCAGGUCUUGACAUCCUCUGACAAUCCUAGAAGAUAGGAC